rnacentral:rRNA from 1 species
AUUGAACGCUAGCGGGAUGCUUUACACAUGCAAGUCGAGCGAGCGGCGGACGGGUGAGUAAUGUAUGGGGACUGCCCGAUAGAGGGGGAUAACUACUGGAAACGGUAGCUAAUACCGCAUACUAUCGGAUAACCCAUAUGGGAUUAGCUAGUAGGUGAGGUAAUGGCUCACCUAGGCGACGAUCCCUAGCUGGUCUGAGAGGAUGAUCAGCCACACUGGGACUGAGACACGGCCCAGACUCCUACGGAGGCAGCAGUGGGGAAUAUUGCACAAUGGGCGCAAGCCUGAGACAGCCAUGACGCGUGGAUGAAGAAGGCCCUAGGGUUGUAAAGUACUUUCAGUGGGGAGGCGUUAACGACAGAAGAAGCACCGGCUAACUCCGUGCCAGCAGCCGCGGUAAUUC